rnacentral:rRNA from 1 species
ACAUACCUACAACUGUUGCUUCGGCGGGUAGGCCGUCCCCUGAAAAGGACGCCUCCCGGCCCGGACCGGACCCCCCGCGGGACCGGACCCGGCGCCCGCCGGAGGAUAACCAAACUCUAUUGUAACGACGUUUCUUCUGAGUGGCAUAAGCAAAAUAAUCAAAACUUUUAACAACGGAUCUCUUGGUUCUGGCAUCGAUGAAGAACGCAGCGAAAUGCGAUAAGUAAUGUGAAUUGCAGAAUUCAGUGAAUCAUCGAAUCUUUGAACGCACAUUGCGCCCGCCAGCAUUCUGGCGGGCAUGCCUGUUCGAGCGUCAUUUCAACCCUCAAGCUCUGCUUGGUGUUGGGGCUCUACGGUCGACGUAGGCCCUCAAAGGUAGUGGCGGACCCUCCCGGAGCCUCCUUUGCGUAGUAACAUUUCGUCUCGCACUGGGAUCCGGAGGGACUCUUGCCGUAAAACCCCCCAAUUUUCCAAAGGUGACCUCGGAUCA